AUUGAACGCUGGCGGCAUGCUUUACACAUGCAAGUCGAACGGUAACAGGCCGCAAGGUGCUGACGAGUGGCGAACGGGUGAGUAAUGCAUCGGAACGUGCCCAGUCGUGGGGGAUAACUACUCGAAAGAGUAGCUAAUACCGCAUAAGAUCGGGGGAUGAAAGCGGGGGACCGGAAGGCCUCGCGCGAUUGGAGCGGCCGGUGUCAGAUUAGGUAGUUGGUGGGGUAAAGGCUCACCAAGCCAACGAUCUGUAGCUGGUCUGAGAGGACGACCAGCCACACUGGGACGGAGACACGGCCCAGACUCCUACGGGAGGCAGCAGUGGGGAAUUUUGGACAAUGGGCGCAAGCCUGAUCCAGCAAUGCCGCGUGCAGGAAGAAGGCCUUCGGGUUGUAAACUGCUUUUGUACGGAACGAAACGGCUUUGGUUAAUACCUGGGGCUAAUGACGGUACCGUAAGAAUAAGCACCGGCUAACUACGUGCCAGCAGCCGCCGUAAUAC
rnacentral:rRNA from 1 species